GGGGAAUAUUGCACAAUGGGCGCAAGCCUGAUGCAGCCAUGCCGCGUGUAUGAAGAAGGCCUUCGGGUUGUAAAGUACUUUCAGCGGGGAGGAAGGUGUUGUGGUUAAUAACCGCAGCAAUUGACGUUACCCGCAGAAGAAGCACCGGCUAACUCCGUGCCAGCAGCCGCGGUAAUACGUAGGGUGCAAGCGUUAAUCGGAAUUACUGGGCGUAAAGCGUGCGCAGGCGGUUCGGAAAGAAAGAUGUGAAAUCCCAGAGCUUAACUUUGGAACUGCAUUCGAAACUGGCAGGCUAGAGGCUUGUAGAGGGGGGUAGAAUUCCAGGUGUAGCGGUGAAAUGCGUAGAGAUCUGGAGGAAUACCGGUGGCGAAGGCGGCCCCCUGGACAAAGACUGACGCUCAGGUGCGAAAGCGUGGGGAGCAAACA
rnacentral:rRNA from 1 species